CCUACGGGCGGCUGCAGUGGGGAAUAUUGGACAAUGGGGGAAACCCUGAUCCAGCAAUGCCGCGUGUGUGAAGAAGGCCUGCGGGUUGUAAAGCACUUUCGGUUGGGAAGAAAAGUUUGGCGCCAAUACCGCCGAACCUUGACGUUACUGACAGAAGAAGCACCGGCUAACUCUGUGCCAGCAGCCGCGGUAAUACAGAGGGUGCAAGCGUGGAUCGGAAUGACUGGGCGUAAAGAGGGCGUAGGUGGGUGAAAGCCCCGGGCUUAACCGUGGAACAGCAUUCGAUACUACAUGGCUAGAGUAUGGUAGAGGGAAGUGGAAUUUCCGGUGUAGCGGUGAAAUGCGUAGAUAUCGGAAGGAACACCAAUGGCGAAGGCAGCUUCCUGGACUAAUACUGACACUGAGGCACGAAAGCGUGGGUAGCAAACAGGAUUAGAUACCCCUGUAGUC
rnacentral:rRNA from 1 species